UGAAUUGAACUGAGAUGCUUAUU
rnacentral:miRNA from 1 species